GAGUUUGAUCCUGGCUCAGAAUCAACGCUGGCGGCGUGCCUCAGACAUGCAAGUCGAACGAUUAAGACUCUCUUCGGAGAGUGUAUAAAGUGGCGCACGGGUGAGUAACACGUAAGUAAUCUACCCUCGAGUGGGGAAUAACAUCGGGAAACCGAUGCUAAUACCGCAUAACGCAGCGGCACCGCAAGGUGACAGUUGUUAAAGGAGCAAUCCGCUUGAGGAGGAGCUUGCGGCAGAUUAGCUAGUUGGUGAGGUAAUGGCUCACCAAGGCUACGAUCUGUAUCCGGCCUGAGAGGGCGGUCGGACACACUGACACUGAAUAACGGGUCAGACUCCUACGGGAGGCAGCAGUCGGGAAUUUUGGGCAAUGGGCGAAAGCCUGACCCAGCAACGCCGCGUGAGGGAUGAAGUAUUUCGGUAUGUAAACCUCGAAAGAAUGGGAAGAAUAAAUGACGGUACCAUUUAUAAGCUCCGGCUAACUACGUGCCAGCAGCCGCGGUAAUACGUAGGGAGCAAGCGUUGUUCGGAUUUACUGGGCGUAAAGGGCGCGUAGGCGGCGCGGUAAGUCACUUGUGAAAUCUCUGAGCUUAACUCAGAACGGCCAAGUGAUACUGCUGUGCUAGAGUGCGGAAGAGGCAACCGGAAUUCUUGGUGUAGCGGUGAAAUGCGUAGAUAUCAAGAGGAACACCUGAGGCGAAGG
rnacentral:rRNA from 1 species